rnacentral:tRNA from 2 species
GCUGGUUUAGUUCAAUGGUAGAACACUGGAUUUGUAACCCAGGAACAAAGGUUCGAUUCCUUUAACCAGCA